UACAGAGGUCUCGAGCGUUGUUCGGAUUCAUUGGGCGUAAAGGGUGCGUAGGUGGCUAGGUAAGUCGGAUGUGAAAUCCCGGGGCUCAACCCCGGAACUGCAUUCGAUACUGCCUGGCUAGAGUACUGGAGAGGAGAUUGGAAUUUACGGUGUAGCAGUGAAAUGCGUAGAUAUCGUAAGGAAGACCAGUGGCGAAGGCGGAUCUCUGGACAGUUACUGACGCUGAGGCACGAAGGUCAGGGGAGCAAACGGG
rnacentral:rRNA from 1 species